rnacentral:rRNA from 1 species
AAGCGGUGGAGCAUGUGGUUUAAUUCGAUGCAACGCGAAGAACCUUACCUGGGCUGACAUCCGAGAAUCCCCUGGAAACAGGGGAGUGCCUUUCGGGAACUCGGAGACAGGUGCUGCAUGGCUGUCGUCAGCUCGUGUCGUGAGAUGUUGGGUUAAGUCCCGCAACGAGCGCAACCCUUGUCUUAAUUGCCAGCAUUCAGUUGGGCACUUUAAAGAGACUGCCGGUGUUAAAGCCGGAGGAAGGUGGGGAUGACGUCAAGUCCUCAUGGCCUUUAUGCCCAGGGCUACACACGUGCUACAAUGGGUGGUACAAAGAGAUGCCAACUCGCGAGAGCGCGCCAAUCUCAGAAAGCCAUCCUCAGUUCGGAUUGGAGUCUGCAACUCGACUCCAUGAAGUUGGAAUCGCUAGUAAUCGCGGAUCAGCACGCCGCGGUGAAUACGUUCCCGGGCCUU